UACGUAGGGGGCAAGCGUUGUCCGGAAUCAUUGGGCGUAAAGCGCGCGUAGGUGGCCCAGUAAGUCCGUUCUGAAAGUCACAGGCUCAACCUGUGAAAGCGGAUGGAUACUGCUGGGCUAGAGUCCGGAAGAGGCGAGUGGAAUUCCUGGUGUAGCGGUGGAAUGCGUAGAGAUCAGGAAGAACACCGGUGGCGAAGGCGCUCUGCUAGGCCGUAACUGACACUGAGGGACGAAAGCUAGGGGAGCGAAUGGG
rnacentral:rRNA from 1 species